rnacentral:rRNA from 1 species
GAUGAACGCUGGCGGCGUGCCUAAUACAUGCAAGUCGAGCGAACGGACGAGAAGCUUGCUUCUCUGAUGUUAGCGGCGGACGGGUGAGUAACACGUGGAUAACCUACCUAUAAGACUGGGAUAACUUCGGGAAACCGGAGCUAAUACCGGAUGAUAUAUUGAACCGCAUGGUUCAAAAGUGAAAGACGGUCUUGCUGUCACUUAUAGAUGGAUCCGCGCUGCAUUAGCUAGUUGGUAAGGUAACGGCUUACCAAGGCAACGAUGCAUAGCCGACCUGAGAGGGUGAUCGGCCACACUGGAACUGAGACACGGUCCAGACUCCUACGGGAGGCAGCAGUAGGGAAUCUUCCGCAAUGGGCGAAAGCCUGACGGAGCAACGCCGCGUGAGUGAUGAAGGUCUUCGGAUCGUAAAACUCUGUUAUUAGGGAAGAACAUAUGUGUAAGUAACUGUGCACAUCUUGACGGUACCUAAUCAGAAAGCCACGGCUAACUACGUG